UAGGGAAUCUUCGGCAAUGGACGAAAGUCUGACCGAGCAACGCCGCGUGAGUGAAUAAGGUUUUCGGAUCGUAAAACUCUGUUGUUAGAGAAGAACAAGGACGUUAGUAACUGAACGUCCCCUGACGGUAUCUAACCAGAAAGCCACGGCUAACUACGUGCCAGCAGCCGCGGUAAUACGUAGGUGGCAAGCGUUGUCCGGAUUUAUUGGGCGUAAAGCGAGCGCAGGCGGUUUCUUAAGUCUGAUGUGAAAGCCCCCGGCUCAACCGGGGAGGGUCAUUGGAAACUGGGAGACUUGAGUGCAGAAGAGGAGAGUGGAAUUCCAUGUGUAGCGGUGAAAUGCGUAGAUAUAUGGAGGAACACCAGUAGCGAAGGCGGCUCUCUGGUCUGUAACUGACGCUGAGGCUCGAAAGCGUGGGGAGCAAACAGG
rnacentral:rRNA from 1 species